CGGGUCUCGGGUUUGGCUGGACCCUACCAUUGCCAUCCCUAGGUCUUGCCUACUUCUCAGCUGGUGUGGGUGGGUCGACCUCCAACCCUCCUGCCGAGCACCACCCUCAGAUUCUUCCAAUGCGGAAAACUUCAAAAUGAAGAUUAUCUCAGUCAAUGAAGGAGAGGAUCUCUUAGCAAAGAUUGUUGAUGCUACUAUCACUGAACCAGGGGUUGUUUUCGUAAUAACAACCACUGGGACGUUAUCAGGCGCCACAAUCCGACUACCUGCGGAAUAUGGCGAAC